rnacentral:lncRNA from 10 species
UGGCCUUCUAAAGCACUGGGAAGUCAUUGUCAAGGACCUUCCUCCCCAGCCAUGAAAACAAGCCCCAGCCUGCCCUUGGGAGAAUGAGAGACUAUAGGAAGCAGAAGUGAGCCAUCCCAGCUGAGGCCACUAUGACCAACCAGUAUCAGUGUCCAGACACCUUGAGGAAUGAAUGACCCAUGGAAUGUGCUUUGAGAAGUGGAAGAUGGUGGCCAAGAGGUGGGUUCUGAAGUCACAAGACCUGACUUCCUGC